ACGUUCUGAAAACAAAACGUAGUGCAUAGAAUAUGAAGUCCGUAAUAACCGGUUGCAUAAAUUGUUUUUAAAUUAGCGUUGGAAAGAAAAUGACAAUGCAUCUGAAGUUAUGAAAAUUUGAUCAAUUUCAUUGAUCAAAUUUUCAUAAAACCGAGUGAGGUGAUGUAACGAUAUCUGUUUCUUUUUUUUUAAUUAAUUUGAAAAACAUUGAUCUCGAUAUGUUUGGCAAAAUUCUUAGCAAAACACAGUUUCCCGAAAAAAAAUAUAACGCUGGACGGAAUGGUGUUGUAAGCUUUCCCCUAUAUAAUGUUGCACGUUUCAAAUCAUAGAUGGCGCUUGAUUUAAAAUAAAGCCGUUUUAUGGAAAAUUAUCUAUGCGCGGAAGUUUCGUCAAGAUGGCCAAUUGGCAUACAAAAAGAAGGAUCGAGACUCUGAUCCCAGCAGGCUUGAAGAUUCUCGGCCAUUUCGUUUGCGGAGCGGUCGGUGAGCAGAACGCAUCGAAGUAGUGUUCCCCCAAAUUUUCUGAAGUGGUAGCUUAUCAGUUCCAAUUGAGUGAAUUUUAUUUAGUAUAAAGUUACAAAGUUGUACGUUCUGCCUAUAUCGAAGUUUUUUGAAGUUUGAAGUGAGCCUGUUCAACAGGCGGCGAGUCUGGGGCGGAAAGCCGUUUUUUUUUUGUAUUAGCUGGUGCGUAAGCGAGCGAGUAACGAGGUGCUGAGGUCGAGAACCGGUGCUGUGGUUUCCACGUGAGCGACGAAAAUCCGCAACGAACGGACGGGAGCUAAACCGAACGUCCGACCGACGCGCGGCGUGGCCGUCGUGUCCCGUAGCGUCCGUCACCAUACGCUACGUUUCCGGAAAUAUUUCUACCGAUCGCACGUGUCGCCAGUCUAUCGUUUUGGAACCAUCUCGCCGGUGCGCCGAUGCACUAAACCCAGCCCAGCAACAUUUCGCAGCCAGUUCAUCAUCCCACAGCAUCAUGAACCCUGCGCGCAGGUACGUGGUUAGGUUAGUGUUUGGCCAUUCACUAUAAGCGUACGCUCCGUUUGAGUGUGUCCCACAUGAACCCGGGUAGAGAGAAGAGAGAGGAUUUGAUAGAGGAAGAGAAUAGGAUAGGAAAAUGAGGAUUUCUCGAGAAUAAAAUUUGUAAAUCUUG